CAGUAGCCGCGGUAAUACGUAGGUGGCAAGCGUUGUCCGGAAUUAUUGGGCGUAAAGGGCUCGCAGGCGGUUUCUUAAGUCCGAUGUGAAGGCCCCCGGCUCAACCGGGGAGGGUCAUUGGAAACUGGGAAACUUGAGUGCAGAAGAGGAGAGUGGAAUUCCACGUGUAGCGGUGAAAUGCGUAGAGAUGUGGAGGAACACCAGUGGCGAAGGCGACUCUCUGGUCUGUAACUGACGCUGAGGAGCGAAAGCGUGGGGAGCGAACAGGAUUAGAUACCCCAGUAGUCCCUGUCUCUUAUAC
rnacentral:rRNA from 1 species